rnacentral:rRNA from 1 species
CACGUAGGGGGCGAGCGUUGUCCGGAUUCAUUGGGCGUAAAGAGCUCGUAGGCGGCUCGGCAAGUCGGGUGUGAAACCUCCAGGCUCAACCUGGAGACGCCACUCGAUACUGCUGUGGCUAGAGUCCGGUAGGGGAGUGUGGAAUUCCCGGUGUAGCGGUGAAAUGCGCAGAUAUCGGGAGGAACACCGGCGGCGAAGGCGGCACUCUGGGCCGGUACUGACGCUGAGGAGCGAAAGCGUGGGUAGCAAACAGG